UGGGGGAUAUUGCACAAUGGGGGAAACCCUGAUGCAGCAACGCCGCGUGAAGGAAGAAGGUCUUCGGAUUGUAAACUUUGUCCUUGGUGAAGAUAAUGACGGUAGCCAAGGAGGAAGCUCCGGCUAACUACGUGCC
rnacentral:rRNA from 1 species